AGAGUUUGAUCAUGGCUCAGAUUGAACGCUGGCGGCAGGCUUAACACAUGCAAGUCGAACGGUAACAUAAAGAAGCUUGCUUCUUUGAUGACGAGUGGCGGACGGGUGAGUAAUGCUUGGGAAUCUAGCUUAUGGAGGGGGAUAACUACGGGAAACUGUAGCUAAUACCGCGUAAUAUCGAAAGAUUAAAGUGUGGGACCUUCGUGCCACAUGCCAUAGGAUGAGCCCAAGUGGGAUUAGGUAGUUGGUGAGGUAAAGGCUCACCAAGCCGACGAUCUCUAGCUGGUCUGAGAGGAUGACCAGCCACACUGGGACUGAGACACGGCCCAGACUCCUACGGGAGGCAGCAGUGGGGAAUAUUGCGCAAUGGGGGCAACCCUGACGCAGCCAUGCCGCGUGAAUGAAGAAGGCCUUCGGGUUGUAAAGUUCUUUCGGUAGCGAGGAAGGCAUUUAGUUUAAUAGACUAGGUGAUUGACGUUAACUACAGAAGAAGCACCGGCUAACUCCGUGCCAGCAGCCGCGGUAAUACGGAGGGUGCGAGCGUUAAUCGGAAUAACUGGGCGUAAAGGGCACGCAGGCGGUGACUUAAGUGAGGUGUGAAAGCCCCGGGCUUAACCUGGGAAUUGCAUUUCAUACUGGGUCGCUAGAGUACUUUAGGGAGGGGUAGAAUUCCACGUGUAGCGGUGAAAUGCGUAGAGAUGUGGAGGAAUACCGAAGGCGAAGGCAGCCCCUUGGGAAUGUACUGACGCUCAUGUGCGAAAGCGUGGGGAGCAAACAGGAUUAGAUACCCCGGUAGUCCAA
rnacentral:rRNA from 1 species